rnacentral:rRNA from 1 species
AAAUUGAAGAGUUUGAUCAUGGCUCAGAUUGAACGCUGGCGGCAGGCCUAACACAUGCAAGUCGAACGGUAACAGGAAGCAGCUUGCUGCUUCGCUGACGAGUGGCGGACGGGUGAGUAAUGUCUGGGAAACUGCCUGAUGGAGGGGGAUAACUACUGGAAACGGUGGCUAAUACCGCAUAACGUCGCAAGACCAAAGAGGGGGACCUUCGGGCCUCUUGCCAUCAGAUGUGCCCAGAUGGGAUUAGCUAGUUGGUGAGGUAACGGCUCACCAAGGCGACGAUCCCUAGCUGGUCUGAGAGGAUGACCAGCCACACUGGAACUGAGACACGGUCCAGACUCCUACGGGAGGCAGCAGUGGGGAAUAUUGCACAAUGGGCGCAAGCCUGAUGCAGCCAUGCCGCGUGUAUGAAGAAGGCCUUCGGGUUGUAAAGUACUUUCAGCGGGGAGGAAGGUGUUGUGGUUAAUAACCGCAGCAAUUGACGUUACCCGCAGAAGAAGCACCGGCUAACUCCGUGCCAGCAGCCGCGGUAAUACGGAGGGUGCAAGCGUUAAUCGGAAUUACUGGGCGUAAAGCGCACGCAGGCGGUCUGUCAAGUCGGAUGUGAAAUCCCCGGGCUCAACCUGGGAACUGCAUUCGAAACUGGCAGGCUUGAGUCUUGUAGAGGGGGGUAGAAUUCCAGGUGUAGCGGUGAAAUGCGUAGAGAUCUGGAGGAAUACCGGUGGCGAAGGCGGCCCCCUGGACAAAGACUGACGCUCAGGUGCGAAAGCGUGGGGAGCAAACAGGAUUAGAUACCCUGGUAGUCCACGCCGUAAACGAUGUCUACUUGGAGGUUGUGCCCUUGAGGCGUGGCUUCCGGAGCUAACGCGUUAAGUAGACCGCCUGGGGAGUACGGCCGCAAGGUUAAAACUCAAAUGAAUUGACGGGGGCCCGCACAAGCGGUGGAGCAUGUGGUUUAAUUCGAUGCAACGCGAAGAACCUUACCUGGUCUUGACAUCCACAGAAGAAUCCAGAGAUGGAUUUGUGCCUUCGGGAACUGUGAGACAGGUGCUGCAUGGCUGUCGUCAGCUCGUGUUGUGAAAUGUUGGGUUAAGUCCCGCAACGAGCGCAACCCUUAUCCUUUGUUGCCAGCGGUCCGGCCGGGAACUCAAAGGAGACUGCCAGUGAUAAACUGGAGGAAGGUGGGGAUGACGUCAAGUCAUCAUGGCCCUUACGACCAGGGCUACACACGUGCUACAAUGGCGCAUACAAAGAGAAGCGACCUCGCGAGAGCAAGCGGACCUCAUAAAGUGCGUCGUAGUCCGGAUUGGAGUCUGCAACUCGACUCCAUGAAGUCGGAAUCGCUAGUAAUCGUGGAUCAGAAUGCCACGGUGAAUACGUUCCCGGGCCUUGUACACACCGCCCGUCACACCAUGGGAGUGGGUUGCAAAAGAAGUAGGUAGCUUAACCUUCGGGAGGGCGCUUACCACUUUGUGAUUCAUGACUGGGGUGAAGUCGUAACAAGGUAACCGUAGGGGAACCUGCGGUUGGAUCACCUCCUUACCUUAAAGAAGC